rfam:Schistosoma mansoni strain Puerto Rico chromosome 2, complete genome
AUCCAACUGACGAGUCCAGAAUAAAGCGAAACGUGCGUUCUGGAU